UUUCUUUAAUGCAAGGUAAUGCUUGUCCUGUUUUUUUUCCUUCACUAGUGUUCAGUUCAUGAUUGGAUCAGUGCUGACUGUGAAUCCAACAAAUGUGAGAUUUGCCACAAAAAUAUUAAAAUGCUCACAGGAAAGAGCUGCGCGUGGUGUCAUCGCAUGCGCCACAGUGACUGUGUUCCUCUGGGCUCAUCACACUGUGACUGUGGACUAUUACAGCAUCACAUCCUUCCGCCCUGGGCCAUAUGUGCUAUGGACUCUAGCUCAGGAAGUAGUCUUGGAGAAAAUUACCUGGCAAACAUAAAUUCAGAUGGACACUUUCUGCAG